GAGACGGCGAGUGUGCUCACAAGGCGACGACGGGUAGCCGGCCUGAGAGGGCGACCGGCCACACUGGGACUGAGACACGGCCCAGACUCCUACGGGAGGCAGCAGUGGGGAAUAUUGCACAAUGGGCGAAAGCCUGAUGCAGCGACGCCGCGUGAGGGAUGACGGCCUUCGGGUUGUAAACCUCUUUCAGCAGGGAAGAAGCGAAAGUGACGGUACCUGCAGAAGAAGCGCCGGCUAACUACGUGCCAGCAGCCGCGGUAAUACGUAGGGCGCAAGCGUUGUCCGGAAUUAUUGGGCGUAAAGAGCUCGUAGGCGGCUUGUCACGUCGGUUGUGAAAGCCCGGGGCUUAACCCCGGGUCUGCAGUCGAUACGGGCAGGCUAGAGUUCGGUAGGGGAGAUCGGAAUUCCUGGUGUAGCGGUGAAAUGCGCAGAUAUCAGGAGGAACACCGGUGGCGAAGGCGGAUCUCUGGGCCGAUACUGACGCUGAGGAGCGAAAGCGUGGGGAGCGAACAGGAUUAGAUACCCUGGUAGUCCACGCCGUAACGGUGGGCACUAGGUGUGGGCAACAUUCCACGUUGUCCGUGCCGCAGCUAACGCAUUAAGUGCCCCGCCUGGGGAGUACGGCCGCAAGGCUAAACUCAAGGAAUUGACGGGGGCCCGCACAAGCGGCGGAGCAUGUGGCUUAAUUCGACGCAACGCGAAGAACCUUACCAAGGCGUGCCAUACCCGGGAAACGUCUGGAGACAGGCGCCCCCUUGUGGUCGGUGUACAGGUGGUGCAUGGCCGUCGUCAGCUCGUGUCGUGAGAUGUUGGGUUAAGUCCCGCAACGAGCGCAACCCUUGUCCCGUGUUGCCAGCAGGCCCUUGUGGUGCUGGGGACUCACGGGAGACCGCCGGGGUCAACUCGGAGGAAGGUGGGGACGACGUCAAGUCAUCAUGCCCCUUAUGUCUUGGGCUGCACACGUGCUACAAUGGCCGGUACAAUGAGCUGCGAUACCGUGAGGUGGAGCGAAUCUCAAAAAGCCGGUCUCAGUUCGGAUUGGGGUCUGCAACUCGACCCCUAUGUAAGUU
rnacentral:rRNA from 1 species